rnacentral:rRNA from 1 species
AGCUUGCUUCUUCUGAUGGCGACCGGCGCACGGGUGCGUAACGCGUAUCAAACCUGCCUCAUACUCGGGGAUAGCCUUGCGAAAGUAAGAUUAAUACCCGAUGUUGUUAUGUUGCCGCAUGGUGAUAUAACCAAAGAUUUAUCGGUAUGAGAUGGUGAUGCGUCCGAUUAGGUAGUAGGCGGGGUAACGGCCCACCUAGCCAUCGAUCGGUAAGGGUUCUGAGAGGAAGGUCCCCCACACUGGAACUGAGACACGGUCCAGACUCCUACGGGAGGCAGCAGUGAGGAAUAUCGGUCAAUGGACGAAAGUCUGAACCAGCCAAGUAGCGUGCAGGAUGACGGCCCUAUGGGUUGUAAACUGCUUUUAGUUUGGGAAUAAAAAAGAGGACGUGUCCUCUCGUGUAUGUACCUUCAGAAAAAGGACCGGCUAAUUCCGUGCCAGCAGCCGCGGUAAUACGGAAGGUCCAGGCGUUAUCCGGAUUUAUUGGGUUUAAAGGGAGCGUAGGCGGAUUAUUAAGUCAGUGGUGAAAGACGGUGGCUCAACCAUCGUUAGCCAUUGAAACUGGUAGUCUGGAGUGCAGACAGGGAUGCUGGAACUCGUGGUGUAGCGGUGAAAUGCUUAGAUAUCACGAUGAACUCCGAUCGCGAAGGCAGGUGUCCGGACUGCAACUGACGCUGAGGCUCGAAAGUGUGGGUAUCAAACAGGAUUAGAUACCCUGGUAGUCCACACAGUAAACGAUGUAUACUCGCGGUUUGCG